rnacentral:rRNA from 1 species
AUUGAACGCUGGCGGCAGGCCUAACACAUGCAAGUCGAGCGGAUGAAGGGAGCUUGCUCCUGGAUUCAGCGGCGGACGGGUGAGUAAUGCUUAGGAAUCUGCCUGGUAGUGGGGGAUAGCGUCCGGAAACGGGCGCUAAUACCGCAUACGUCCUGAGGGAGAAAGUGGGGGAUCUUCGGACCUCACGCUAUCAGAUGAGCCUAGGUCGGAUUAGCUAGUUGGUGGGGUAAAGGCCUACCAAGGCGACGAUCCGUAACUGGUCUGAGAGGAUGAUCAGUCACACUGGAACUGAGACACGGUCCAGACUCCUACGGGAGGCAGCAGUGGGGAAUAUUGGACAAUGGGCGAAAGCCUGAUCCAGCCAUGCCGCGUGUGUGAAGAAGGUCUUCGGAUUGUAAAGCACUUUAAGUUGGGAGGAAGGGCAGUAAGUUAAUACCUUGCUGUUUUGACGUUACCAACAGAAUAAGCACCGGCUAACUUCGCG